GCGUCAGUGGUGUAGCCUGGUAUCACCUCAGCUUCCCAUGCUGAUGACCCGCGUUCAAAUCGCGGCUGACGCA
rfam:Halococcus saccharolyticus DSM 5350 contig_25, whole genome shotgun sequence.